rnacentral:tmRNA from 1 species
AUCUUUACAACCUAACACUGUUUAUUUUAUAUUAUAUUUGUAGUGUUCUUUAAACUACUAUGGCAAUAAACGUUGUUUAGAAUAAAAGUUGCGGACCCGGGGGCGGUACCCGGCGCCUCCACCUAUAAUUUAGCUUAGUCAAUUAUGGGGGCGAAUUAGGAUCGACGUGCUUAAUAAAGGGGCUGCUUUUGCUCAGUAUGAUUCCGCUGAAGUCUUUGCUAAAAAGAUUUGAGGGUCAAAAAAAGGAAACGCAAACGAUAAUAAUCGUUCUGUAGCUUUAGCUGCUUAAUAUAAGCAUAUAAUGCUACGCGGCUUUGGGCCCGCCGGGCAACAGAAGGGCCCUUAU